AUGGAGCACGCCGCGUGAGUGAAAGAGGUCUUCGGAUCGUAAAACUCUGUUGUUAGAGAAGAACACGAGUGAGAGUAACUGUUCAUUCGAUGACGGUAUCUAACCAGCAAGUCACGGCUAACUACGUGCCAGCAGCCGCGGUAAUACGUAGGUGGCAAGCGUUGUCCGGAUUUAUUGGGCGUAAAGGGAACGCAGGCGGUCUUUUAAGUCUGAUGUGAAAGCCUUCGGCUUAACCGGAGUAGUGCAUUGGAAACUGGAAGACUUGAGUGCAGAAGAGGAGAGUGGAACUCCAUGUGUAGCGGUGAAAUGCGUAGAUAUAUGGAAGAACACCAGUGGCGAAAGCGGCUCUCUGGUCUGUAACUGACGCUGAGGUUCGAAAGCGUGGGUAGCAAACA
rnacentral:rRNA from 1 species